UCCUCGUCCACUUCCCUGAGGUACCCUACGCCACAGGAAGGGGAGCUCUCCCAUAGUGCUUUGGUUAGUUCCCUGAGUGCUCAUGCAUUUGAAGCUUGGUCCUCUGUGGAGCUGUGAGAGGGGAUGGGGGCACUAAGGGAUGAGGCCUAGAGACGGUCUUUAAGUCAGCAUUCUUCGAAGUCUUUCAGCCUAAGGCAGUAAGGAAAGAGAAGUCACAAGCUGUGUUCGUCAAAUCUCUGCAGACACCGAGGUCCUGAAGAGGCCUGUGGCAGCAAGCUAAGGCAGUCAGCUGCUCAGUAUCUGCUUAAACACAAUAAACUAAGACUCUGAAUGCACGGGCAACGGUUGUUUGUGGGAGACUGGUACAGAGAAAGGCCUCAUAUACUGUUUGUAUUUAACUUCAUAUGAUCAUCUCACAAGUGAAAAAGACACAUGUCUGUACCAAUGUAAAAUUUAAACACAGCACAAUUCAGCCCAUCUUCUGAGAUAGAGCAGAAAAGCCAAGCCUGCCGCACUCAGGCCUCAGGUGAGGGAGCUGAGCCUCUUGGGUGUCCAGCAGGGCCAACCACUCAGUUACAAGUCACCCUUACCUCUAGCUUCUUGAGCCUCUCUUGCUCCUCCUUUGCUAGUUCCUCUUCCGUUUUCAUCCUGUUAGAGGGCUGUGCCUUCAUUUCAAAGCCAAGCUCACGAACCAUCAUGUCAUAUGCAUCGGGCUAAGGGGAAAAUAAGAUGUUCUUCAGAAUUGUUUACAGAAAGUAAAGAACACCAUU
rnacentral:lncRNA from 1 species